AGGCCUUUUGGGAACUCACUAGCUCCGGAUCCCAUAAGAACUCCAAAGUUAAGUGAGUUUGGGCUAGAGCAGUCCUAGGAUGGGUGACCCCCUGGGAAGUUUUCGUGCCGAAACCC
rnacentral:rRNA from 1 species